AGUGAACGCUGGCGGUAGGCCUAACACAUGCAAGUCGAACGGCAGCACAGUAAGAGCUUGCUCUUACGGGUGGCGAGUGGCGGACGGGUGAGGAAUACAUCGGAAUCUACUUUUUCGUGGGGGAUAACGUAGGGAAACUUACGCUAAUACCGCAUACGACCUACGGGGGAAAGCAGGGGAUCUUCGGACCUUGCGCGAAUGAAUGAGCCGAUGUCGGAUUAGCUAGUUGGCGGGGUAAAGGCCCACCAAGGCGGCGAUCCGUAGCUGGUCUGAGAGGCUGGUCAGCCACCUUGGAACUGAGACAGGGUCCAGACUCCUGCGGGAGGCCGCAGUGUGGAAUAUUGGACAAUGGGCGCAAGCCUUAUCCAGCCAUACCGCGUGGGUUAAGAAGGCCUUCGGGUUGUAAAGCCCUUUUGUUGGUAAAGAAAAGCAGCAGGUUAAUACCCCGCGGUUCUGACGGUACCCAAAGAAUAAGCACCGGCUAACUUCGUG
rnacentral:rRNA from 1 species